GGAAGACGGUGGCGAUCAAAAGGGCAGACAUGCUGAAGUAUGUCAUCAAAAGGUACAGGAGCUUCCUCCCUGAGAUUUUCAAGAAAGCCUCUGACCUCCCCGAGUUAGUCUUUGGGUUCUAUCUGAAGGAACUUGAUCCAGCAGAGCACUCCUAUGUCUUGAUCAGAAAAAUCGAUCCUGCCCUGGUUUGGGGCCUGACAGGCGACCAGGGCACACCAAAGACCCGGCUCCUGAUGAUUACUCUGGACUCGAUCUUCAUGCAGGCCAGCUGUGUCCCCGAGGAGGUGGUCUGGGAGGUGUUGAGGGUGUUGGAGGCACAUUUCGUCUAAAAAGCAUUUCGUCUUUGGGGAGUCCAUGAAGCUCAUCACCAAAGCUAGUGUGCAGCAGGAGUAUCUGGUGCACAAAUAGGUGUCCCACAGCAAUCCCACGCUCUAGGUAUUCUUGUGGGGGCUCUCAAAGGAAACAAGACAGAUGGAAGUCCCGGAGUUUGUGGCCAAAGUGAAUGACACCCACCCCAGUUCCUUUCCGUGGCAGUAAAUGAGGCAUUGAGAGAAGAGGAGGAGAUACCCCGUGCCCGAGAUGGCAGCUGCCGUUGGUGACGUGACAAGUGCCAGUGUUAGUGCCAGUUCCAGUUCCAGGGCCUAUGCCAUGGCUGAAGCAAGCAUCAGCACCAGCACCAAUGCAAGUGCCAGUUGCCAGUGCCAGGGCUAGAGCCAUGGCUGGAGCAAGUAUCAGUACCUGGGACAGUGCCAGUGUGGUUGCAAUCUCAGGCUAGUGUCAGGGACUCCUCCUGCCAGCAGUGAAGGCUGGGGCUGAGUCUUCACUUUGUUUUGCUGUGGGUAGUCAAAAGGGCCCCACAGCAGUGGGUGCUGGGGUCCUGACUUUUCAAGAGUCGAGGGGUAGAGUGGGGUUAGGGAGAACCUGCCGCCCAUGGUAUCUGUGUUCCAGUUCUAUUUGUCUUUCUCAGUGAUUUAGCUUUCAAUUUGCAUACUGCAAAGUUUUGUUUGCCUUAAUUAACUUUCUUUUAUAAUGAUGAUCAUUUUACAGGAAAUAAACUGGUUAAAACUACAUGAUGACAGAAUUAUAUCAGAGUUGAAACAAACGCCAUACCUAAGCAUUUUUUUCAAAAUCCUUUGUUCCAUAGACACUUGAUUGAGUACUUAAGUUGAACAUCUAGGUCUAUGAAUGACGUUGGUCAAAUGUUUUAUUGUUCUCUGUUUCGGUUUUAGCAGGAGAGAUUUGCUGUUUCAUAAAAGAAAUUGGGAGAGUAUAUCAUUUUAUGCCUGUAACUUAUUAUAGCAUUGGAAUAAGCUGUUCUUUGGAGGUUUGAGAGACUUUACCAGUACAAUCAUUCCCCCCCUCCCCCAAAUAUAAAAAGAUAAAAUAAAAAGCCGGUCAGUGUCUGUUGCACAAAAUUACAACCGCUCUCUGCUUGUAUUUGCCUAGUUCUCCAGAAUGUAGGGAAAAAUAAAAAUUCAAUGAAUUAGACA
rnacentral:lncRNA from 1 species